rfam:Echinostoma caproni strain Egypt genome assembly, scaffold: ECPE_scaffold0004804
GCACUGCUGAUGAGACUCGACCAGGUCGAAACAGUUGUCCAGUGC